GCUACAAUGGCGCAUACAAAGAGAAGCGACCCUCGCGAGAGCAAGCGGACCUCAUAAAGUGCGUCGUAGUCCGGAUUGGAGUCUGCAACUCGACUCCAUGAAGUCGGAAUCGCUAGUAAUCGUGGAUCAGAAUGCCACGGUGAAUACGUUCCGGGCCUUGUACACACCGCCCGUCACACCAUGGGAGUGGGUUGCAAAAGAAGUAGGUAGCUUAACCUUCGGGAGGGCGCUUACCACUUUGUGAUUCAUGACUGGGGUGAAGUCGUAACAAGGUAACCGUAGGGGAACCUGCGGUUGGAUCACCUCCUUACCUUAAAGAAGC
rnacentral:rRNA from 1 species